UGACGCUAGAUUAUUUGAUUGGAAUUAAAGUACGAUAAGAAAACAGUCUACUCCUGAAAAACGAAUAGGUAGUCGUAGUCUGAGAUGAAUCAUCUAAAAGUGGAACCAUCAGAUACAGCUUUCAUGAUAAGAUUUGUAAAUUAUGUUGAGGUUGAAUUAUCAAUUAUUUACCUAUUGUAACUACUAAAGACCUGGACUCAUCCUUUUGAAAAAUAGUUGUUUUUAAAAAAGUAUAUAAAUAUUUAUUAUUGUC